CAUUGCCCUUCAAUCCACUGUCGAAAUUACUCCAGGUUUGAAACAGGAGGAACGGGCAGGGCUGCAUGAGGCCUUUGACCUAGGAGCAAACCGGAGAUCUCUGGGAUCUGCCGUCCAAAGUGACCUCUGCAAAGUCCAGAAACAAGUCCUCAUGACAUCCUUCGCCACCAGCAUCUCACUGUGGUUCCCACUGAAGAGAAGGAAGAGGAGAAAUAAAAUGACAAGAGUGAGACAAAACCUACGAGAAUGAUUAUCAAAAGAACAUUCCUUCCCAAAGAGAGCAGUAUGCAAAGAAGAGGGAAAGGCAACAUUACCGUGGAGAAGUCUCACAAAUGCUUCCUCAGCCAGACAAUCAAGGUCAACAUCAACAGAGCUCUUCCUCCUUAAUUGCACAGCAGACGAGACUGCAGAUGGAACUCUUCAACAUUGCGAGAGAGAAGACCGUUAACCUGACUGACGAGUUAUCCAGCUGACUUUCAUUUUUGUCCAAUUUCGUCUACCUAGACAAAUACAUCCCACUCAGCGGGUAUCUUGUUUUCCCGCAUCUUUAUAGAAAAUACUUGUGACGAACAGGACCACAUUCAUUAGAGUAAACUGGGAUGCUACACCCCAACACUUUUAUUUGCAUAGACAG
rnacentral:lncRNA from 1 species